UACGAAAGGGGCUAGCGUUGUUCGGAAUUACUGGGCGUAAAGCGCACGUAGGCGGCCUUGUAAGUUGGGGGUGAAAUCCCGGAGCUCAACUCCGGAACUGCCUUCAAGACUGCAAAGCUAGAUGAUGCGAGAGGUUGGCGGAAUUCCGAGUGUAGAGGUGAAAUUCGUAGAUAUUCGGAAGAACACCAGUGGCGAAGGCGGCCAACUGGCGCAUUUCUGACGCUGAGGUGCGAAAGCGUGGGGAGCAAACAGG
rnacentral:rRNA from 1 species